rnacentral:rRNA from 1 species
AGCGGAGGAAAAGAAACUAACAAGGAUUCCCCUAGUAACGGCGAGUGAAGUGGGAAAAGCUCAACUUUGAAAUCUGGUACUUUCAGUAUCCGAAUUGUAGUCUCAAGAAGUGUUUUCUGUGCCGGUCCAUGUAUGAGUCUGUUGGAACACAGCGUCAUAGAGGGUGACAACCCCGUUCAUGACAUGGAUCCCGGUGCUUUGUGAUACACUCUCGAAGAGUCGAGUUGUUUGGGAAUGCAGCUCAAAUUGGGUGGUAAAUUCCAUCUAAAGCUAAAUAUUGGCGAGAGACCGAUAGCAAACAAGUACCGUGAGGGAAAGAUGAAAAGCACUUUGGAAAGAGAGUUAACAGUACGUGAAAUUGUUGAAAGGGAAACGAUUGAAGUCAGACGUGCGUGAUGCGGUUCAGCUUUAGUUCGCUAGAGUGUACUCCGUAUCUUUGCAGGCCAACAUCGGUUUUGUUAGUCGGAUAAAGGUUUGAGAAAUGUGGCACCUUCGGGUGUGUUAUAGUCUCAGACUGAAUACGAUUGAUGGGACCGAGGAACGCAGCGCGCCGCAAGGCAAAGGUUCCGACCUUUUCGCGCUUAGGAUGUUGGUGAAAUGGCUUUAAACGA